GCCUGGGUGGCUCAGUUGGUUAAGUACCUGACCUCAGCUCAGGUCAUGAUCUCAUGGCUUGUGAGUUCAAGCCCCACAUCAGGCU
rnacentral:tRNA from 1 species